rnacentral:misc_RNA from 1 species
GAUGAAGAACGUAGCGAAAUGCGAUAAGUAAUGUGAAUUGCAGAAUUCAGUGAAUCAUCGAAUCUUUGAACGCACAUUGCGCCCGCCAGUAUUCUGGCGGGCAUGCCUGUUCGAGCGUCAUUACAACCCUCAGGCCCCCGGGCCUGGCGUUGGGGAUCGGCGGAAGCCCCCUGCGGGCACAACGCCGUCCCCCAAAUACAGUGGCGGUCCCGCCGCAGCUUCCAUUGCGUAGUAGCUAACACCUCGCAACUGGAGAGCGGCGCGGCCACGCCGUAAAACACCCAACUUCUGAAUGUUGACCUCGAAUCAGGUAGGAAUACCCGCUGAACUUAAGCAUAUCAAUAAGCGGAA